CAGGGGUUCAGAUAAAAAAUCGGCAGCUGGCAGCAGGAAGUGGCUGCCAUUGACAGCCGGAAGGCAGUAACUGACAGCCGGAAGGCAGUAACUGGCAGCCGGAUGGUAGGCGGGACCUGCCGAUCGGUGGGAGCCAAUCAGUAUCGACCAACGUGGGCGCAACCAAUCAGAUAUAACUGCACCCAAACGCUUCAGUAAUGGUUGCGAUUGAUCAAACGUUGCCAGAUGCUGUCCUGUUGGAAAUUCUUCUUUACGUGAUCCUGGAGGAGGGGUGAUGCUACAUUACUAAGUCCGUCUUUGGUUUGUUCCAAAUUCAGAAGUCUGCUGUACUGUAUACAGACUCCUUUCGAAAGAGGGCACAAUCCAGCUGGCUUGACUGAGUAUUUUCUUUUACAUAUUUGAUUAGAGGUUUAAAAAGGUGCCAUAACAUUACAUUUCUCAGUUGCCAUGUCUGAAUGUUUAUCUUCGUUAUAAUGCUGUUUUCAUACUCCUCAUCUCAAUAUACAGGUGGAACAAAAUGGAGAACAAGUCUAAGCCAUGUCAGGAAUUCAACAAAAUGUACACCCUGCAGACACUGCGACGAGGUUUACAUCAACUGCUUACCAGGUCACUGCAGUCACGCGGAUCGAGUACGUAUCCAGACCAGAUGGUGGAUCGCACCUAGAAAGGACCUCUACUGCCCUGAAAGACAGCGGAGACCAGGACAACUUGAGCCCCAGAUACAGAUCCCCUGUAAAGACCUUGUUUUUACUCCAUUUUGUCACAGAUAGAGUUUUGGUUCCUUGUCGCCUCUGGCUUGCUUCGUUGUGGUCACUUCAUUUGCAGCGAUCUCAUUGACAUGAUUGCAAAUGAUUCCACAGAUACUAUUUAAACUGAACCGAGCUGAAGUAUGACUUCACUGAAUUCAAUGAUAAACUGCCUUUUAAACUGACUACAAACUGAGUUUACUAAUGUCCUUCUGCAUUAUUGACUGACACACUAUUUUCCUAUUUAAUACUGUAAAGUUGCUUUGAUUUGAUCUGUAUUAUUAAAAGCACUAUAUAAAUAAACAAUGCUUGACUUGACCAUGUUGCAAGAGGAAAAUGAGGGGAGAUGCACAUCCACCCUGGGUUUUACAGUGAUUGGUGCAAGAUGCUGGAGAAGUAACUCCGUAUACCUCAUCAGUUCUGAUCUAAGAGUCUUGAAAAUACCUCCGGAUUGUUGUUAGUGAUUCUGAUUGAUAUUUUAGUCUGCUUGCUUACUGGAUCUAUUUUAUACUGUUUACAUUGUAAAGCACUGACUUUGACAACUUACUAACCCAGUUACAAAUUUAAAAGCUACUUUAUACUACAUAUAUAUAUAUAUAUAUAUAUAUAUAUAUAUAUAUAGUUGUUUCUUGAAAUACUACAAAUAUAACCGCAAAUUAUGAUUUUAAAUAAAGGUCUCUGAGACUUCUCUCUUUUCAGUCAUUUGUGUAUAUAGCCUAUAAUAAAUAUACAACAUACACCCA